GAUGAACGCUGGCGGCGUGCCUAAUACAUGCAAGUCGAGCGAACAGAUGAGAAGCUUGCUUCUCUGAUGUUAGCGGCGGACGGGUGAGUAACACGUGGGUAACCUACCUAUAAGACUGGGAUAACUCCGGGAAACCGGGGCUAAUACCGGAAAAUAUAUUGAACCGCAUGGUUCAAUGUUGAAAGACGGUUUCGGCUGUCACUUAUAGAUGGACCCGCGCCGUAUUAGCUAGUUGGUAAGGUAACGGCUUACCAAGGCAACGAUACGUAGCCGACCUGAGAGGGUGAUCGGCCACACUGGAACUGAGACACGGUCCAGACUCCUACGGGAGGCAGCAGUAGGGAAUCUUCCGCAAUGGGCGAAAGCCUGACGGAGCAACGCCGCGUGGGUGAUGAAGGUCUUAGGAUCGUAAAACUCUGUUGUUAGGGAAGAACAAAUUUGUUAGUAACUGAACAAGUCUUGACGGUACCUAACCAGAAAGCCACGGCUAACUACGUGCCAGCCGCCGCCGUAACAC
rnacentral:rRNA from 1 species